GCAGAGAUGGUUCAAUGGUAGAAUUCUCAGCUUCCAUGUGGGAGACCUGGGUUCAAUUCCUGGCCAAUGCA
rnacentral:tRNA from 1 species